UUUACUGGUUCUAAUUUCUUCGUCUUUCCUUUCAUUCUUCGUCUCCUUCGUUUCUUUUCUCCUUCCUCCUUCUCUCUUCUUUUGCGCCGCCGUCUUUUUUCUGGAGACGAAGUCCGCCGCCGCCCGCUGGAACAAUUGGUCCCAUUCCCAUAUUCUUCCUCGAAUCACUCUGGUUUUCCGAAGGAUCGGCCCAAUUAUCGUGUUUUCCAGUGGAUGGCUCUUGCAGUGUGCAACAAAAGAAACUAGUUUGGUAGGAAGUGAAAGUGGCAUCAGAUGUAAAAUCAAUGUGGCCUUACUGUGUGCAGAAUGAGUUAAGAGUUUUAUGAAUUGGCGGCAGAAGGGGAGGAGAUGGCUUUAACAGCAGAGAUCUCAGUGCUGUCAUAAAACUAAGCAAUUGAGGGAAAGGAUUUUCUCCACUGGUACUUUCAGAGAAGACUUGCAAGAUUUGGCCCUCAGCCCUCCCAAAAUUUGCUUGAUUACUUACUAUUUGACUUGGCAAGGGAAAAUGUCUCUCAAAAUUUAGAGCCACUGGACUCUGGCAUAAAAUGGGUAUGAUGUCACAUUCAUUGGCUACAAUGACUCACAAAGGAAAACUACCACAACGCAACAGGUAAGUUUUUUUAUCACCCUGUCUUUAUCAAGGCACUCUAUGAUAAUUAUGCUUUCAAAAUUGCUAGUGUAUUCUCCUACUAACGGAUUUGUUUAUGUUAUUUGGUUUAGUCGAUGAUUGGAUGUGGGUUUAGGUUUGGGCAUCUUGUGGUUUUUGUGGUUUGGAAGUAACAGCAAUAAUUAAAUCAAUCAAUAUGGCUGGUUACACCUCGCUUCAUUUGACCCUCACUAUUUUGUACAGGGAUUGAAACUUCGGCUGCUCAUUUCAUCCAAACACUACCCAAUGCGAAGAUAUAGCCUCAAAUAAAUGUUGGUGUUCUUACGACGUCGUGUGACACACAUACAUUCACCUGCAUCUUCACAUGGGAUGGAAUUCGUGUGCCCUAAUUUCGAGACACGAUUGCAACUCAUCAGAUGUAUUAGAAGCCAUGUUCAUGAGCUUCAACAUAAUAAAUUCAACAAGAUCUUUCUUAAUUUUCUUACAGCUGUGACUCUGAACUGAUUGUUGCAUUAUUACCAGGUGAAACCAAAUCAGUACUAUGCAUACAUUCCCACCUGUCCCUCAGUUUCUCUGCAGGUUCUGAAAGUGGGGCCCAAUCGAACCAGACCUGCCUGGUACAUGCAUGCACCAUAUUCAUAAGCUCCAAGAAAAUUUGAGUCGAGAGGAAAAUUGUGAGGAACAGAUCGAUGUGGGCUCAAAGACAGGACAGCCCUA